CAACAACAAGGAGAGCGGGGACUCAUGUUCCACCCAACCAGGCCAAGCUCUUUGACCCAGUGAUGUCAUCUAUGAUGUCACUGCCUCCUCGUCAGCACUGCCUGUUUCUGUCUGAAUGAGAUGUGCCUUAUAAGUCCCAAGCCUGUGACUACUGGGCUCACAGUUGGUGGCUGUUGGAGGAGGAUUAGAAGGGAAAUAUAGCUAACGAUGGGACUGCUGGUGAUGAACGCCCAAACUGCAGGACUGGGGGAUGGCUCACUGGAGAAAUCAGUUGUCAGACAGAGUCCAGUCACCGGGAUGGAUAUAGGAUGUGGUAACCUGCAAUCCCAGCCAUGAGUCUGAAGACUGUAAAUUGAACGCUUGCCUGAGACACAAGUAAAAAAAAACAGCGGGACAAACAGCCACGUGUCUUUAGUGAGCAGCCCGUACAUUCUGCCUACCAACAAGGCAAGAGCAAUUCUGUUGGAGCCACAGAAGGCACCGAAUUCUUCAGAGCAUCAAUGAAAAAGCCUUGAUUUGAUAUCAGUGGAAACAAUUCUCAUUGAUGUUGCCUAACAUUUUUGUAGAUGAAUGUUGACAAAAUUAAAGAAUCUGAGGGCUGCUGAAUAAAUCUGAGGGUGCCUAAGAUCUGGAAUAGGCAGACGUUUUAUUAUAUACAACACCUUCCUGGUGUGAAAAGGAAAUAAGGCAGUUUACAGUGGAA